rnacentral:tRNA from 1 species
GGAUUGUGGCUCAGUGGUAGAGCGCUCGCUUAGCAGGGGUGGGACCCGGGUUCGAUCCUCAGCACCA